rnacentral:rRNA from 1 species
GAUGAACGCUGGCGGCGUGCCUAAUACAUGCAAGUCGAGCGAACGGACGAGAAGCUUGCUUCUCUGAUGUUAGCGGCGGACGGGUGAGUAACACGUGGAUAACCUACCUAUAAGACUGGGAUAACUUCGGGAAACCGUAGCUAAUACCGGAUAAUAUUUUGAACCGCAUGGUUCAAAAGUGAAAGACGGUCUUGCUGUCACUUAUAGAUGGAUCCGCGCUGCAUUAGCUAGUUGGUAAGGUAACGGCUUACCAAGGCAACGAUGCAUAGCCGACCUGAGAGGGUGAGCGGCCAAACGGGAACUGAGACACGGUACAGAGUCCUACGGGAGGCAGCAGUAGGGAAUCUUCCGCAAUGGGCGAAAGCCUGACGGAGAAACGCCGCGUGAGUGAUGAAGGUCUUAGGAUCGUAAAACUCUGUUAUUAGGGAAGAACAUAUGUGUAAGUAACUGUGCACAUCUUGACGGUACCUAAUCAGAAAGCCACGGCUAACUACGUG